CCUAUUGCUUAGCACCCCGGCGCUCGUCUAUGCUUAAAUCCCAGUGCCCCGACGCUGGAUGCCUAGGUUUAAAAAUUAAAUACGUGCUCUCCCAUUUUGUUCAAACUCCUUAAACCAUUCAACUUCCUCCACCACCUAUACACGUUCUAACCGUUUCCAUUCUUUGGUAACUGACCUACUCCGUAUCACAAUAUAUAGACUGCAUACCUUUUGUGACAGCCCACUUUGAUUCAAUCACCACC
rnacentral:lncRNA from 1 species